rnacentral:lncRNA from 1 species
GGUCAGCAGGGUCAACGCCCAGGGGGCAGACGUGGGGCAGGUCCUGUGCAGCAGAAUCAGCAGCCAGUGCCCCUGAUGCAGCAGCAGGUUGGUUCAAGUGCAACAUUUUCUAUGUUUUUGAGUUUCUGCUUUUGGACUAAAUUUUCAUUUUACACUUUAUUUUAUGCCCCUCACUUCUCUGAUGGGAAGAUGAUUGUUACUUGCUCAUGUUUCAGAUGCUUCCAAGGGGGGGACGAGUCUACCGCUACCCUCCUGGCCGCAAUAUGCCUGAUGUUCCAAUGCCAGGUGUUGCUGGAGGCAUGCUUUCAAUUCCAUAUGACAUGGGUGGCGUGCCACUUCGAGAUGCUGCAAUUGGUCAGCCAAUGCCCAUUUCAGCUUUGGCUUCAGCUCUUGCAAAUGCAACACCUGAUCAGCAAAGAACAGUAUGCCGUUUAUAUACCUUAGUUUGCAUUGUAUUAAUAGCCUUUUUCAUUUUUUUUCUUUUUCUUCUGCUCUCAUUAUCGUUGAUACCUUAGUUUGCAUUGUAUUAGGAGCCUGGUUUAUUUUACUUUAUUUUAUUUUUUAUGGUGCUCAUGGUGUUGUUUCUGUUUUUAUGGUGGCUAGAUGCUGGGUGAAAGUUUGUACCCUCUCGUGGAUCAGCUGGAGCAUGAGAUGGCAGCUAAAGUGACAGGCAUGCUUCUGGAGAUGGACCAGACUGAGGUUUUGCAUCUGCUCGAGUCGCCAGAGGCUUUGAAGUCCAAGGUUGCGGAGGCCAUGGACGUCCUGAGGAAUGUUGCUCAGCAGCAGGCUAACAGCCCAACCGAACAACUAGCCUCACUGUCCCUAAAUGACAGCCUUGUUCCCUGAGUGUGUUGGGUGGAACUUAAAUGUGGUUCCAGCAGUUUAAAUUAAGUUUCUCUGCUAGUGAAGGCUCUAGAUUUCAUUUGAUAUGGAGUUACAUUAGCCAUAGGAUUCUGAAGUUUGAAACAUAUUGUGUGUUGGUUUUUGGUGAUGAAGUUUAGGAUGCUAUACAUUCUAUGUUCUGGUGUUGACGAUCGAGUGUUCGAUUGAGUUGCUUGCAUAUUCCAAACCAUAGAAUUCUGACGUUAAAUAGAUACUAUGUUUGAUUUUGUGAUUAAAUUUUGGACUUAGACAUUGCUAUAGUUUUGGUGUUGAUCAUGGCAUUUUCUACGGAGUUUCUUGCACUAUUUCAAGUAUCAUGUCUUUCUCUUGCUUACAUGUGCUUGACUCUAGCCUUAAUCUAAAAUAUUUCUUACCAAUUCAUACGAUGUGCCUCACCUAACUGAUUUUGUAUAUCUUCUCUUCUCAUUUGCUCUGCGUCUGCUUUCUUUAGCUGAUUUGAUACGACCGUCCUGAGUUGCACCCUCAGAAGUCAAAAGCAUGGUGGUUGAGAGAUAAUAAAUUUUGGGAGCAUUGAUGGACCAUAUGAAUUGAAGGGGACCCAAGCCUCAGGGGUCUUGCUGCAUAAGUCGAAGUGCAAUAGGAUGCUACGAAUCCUUAAAACUAGAUGUUUUCUUUUUGGUGUGUUCCUAUUUCGUUUGGUAUUGGGGAUGAUUAACUCAGGGCCCAUAUUUCACAAAUUAAAAUAGAAUUUGUUUUAAUAGUUUAUUUUAGGAAGAGCACCCUUUAAAUUAGAACAGUGUGCUCGCUUGUAUCAUGGACCUAGCUGUAUUUCUUCCUCACGGUAUUAACGACUGCACACAUUAAUCGCUCUCACGUUGAUGAUAGGCCAUGUGCCCCGUUAUCAAUCGACAAGACAAGUUCAAACAUAUUCAAUUUCCAUUUCCAUGAUCCUAAUUGGAAUAUUUCGCAGCAGGUGGCCUAAGAGGUCUAGUGUGAAAGUUGUAAAAAAAAAGGACGAAGUAUCCUAAUGGACUACAAUGAUCAGGAUUUUCCGAGAAAAUCCUCAUUUAGCUUUAGGCCGACGUGGCCCCCAACGGCACCACGUUUUCAAAGCAUUACAAGAAACGUACAACCUUCAAAAUCUUUCACCUAGAUUUUAAACGACGGCUACAUUUCAUCUUCAGAAACCCAAGUUUGAAUUUUCAUUCAGUUCAAUAUUCCACUAGGUUAACAUAAUCAGAAUCCUUAAAAGAAGGGCCAAUGUCGAGGUUGUUACUAAGCAAGCAGGUUCUUCGUUUAAGUCUAUUUAAUUUAUUUCCCCCAUAUGCAAGCGCCGGAAUAUAGAGAAGGCUUUGAGCAAUUACGUGUACGUUUAAUUCAGUACUGUAACCACAAGCACCCACCCGGCAAUGGUUCAAUUCAGUUCUGUAACCACCAGCUCCCACCAACUUUCGGUGGACUCUUCAAAGGAAGCGGCGUGAAGAAAGUUGAGAAAUUUCUCACGCAAUUCGGUUUAUUUAUUUAUUUUUCUGUUGUCACGGUGCACCGUUGAAUUGAAUCAUACAGCAAUUCAUUAAGUGGGUGACGUCAUGCUUGACAUCCAUCCUCCAGUUUUGGCUCAUCCUCCAAACACCUUUUAAAAGAAUGGGUCCAUCUAUGGCCUUUGAGUUAGGGUUGAAUUGCCAGCCCUAAUUUUUGGAAAACGGGUUUAGAAUCAUAAUAGUUAUUAUUAUUACAAUCUAAUCUCACAUCAUUCUUUUCAUAUUUUGACUGGAUCUAGUCUUUUCCAGGCAACUGGGAGGACAAUCAUUUAAAGAAUUGAGAUGCUCAUCUGCAGCUUUAUAAAUCACAGCAGCCCAUUAAGAAUGGUAGGGAGAAGCUGAAGAUAAGCUAUUGGCUUCCCUGAACAGAGGAGACUCCUCGGUGGUCUAAUGGCAACUCCGACUGUUCGGCUCAUCUCAGAAUGCUUUAUCAAACCAAAGUUCACUUCAGAAGAGACCAAGGAGCCCUGUUACCUCACACCAUGGGACCUUGCCAUGCUCUCCGUCAAUUAUAUCCAAAAGGGCCUUCUCUUUAGCAAACCACCUGAUGUGGAUGAUCCACAAAACUUCAUGGCAACUCUCUUGGACAGGCUCAAGGAUUCCCUCGCUCUCACACUCGACCAUUUCUACCCACUUGCAGGCCGCCUUGCAACAAAGAAGGAGGACAGUCCACCCUCUUACGUGGUCUUUGUAGAUUGUAACAACAGUCCCGGAGCGAAAUUCAUCCACGCAGCUGCAGACAUGACAAUAUCUGAUAUCCUUUCACCAAUUUAUGUACCCCAAGUUAUCCAAUCAUUCUUUGAUCAUGAUAGGGUGAUUAACCACGAUGGUCACACCUUGUCUUUGCUAUCAAUUCAAGUCACAGAGCUUGUGGACGGCAUCUUCAUUGGAUGUUCCAUAAAUCACAGCAUGGUUGAUGGAACCUCUUUCUGGCAUUUCUUCAACGCAUGGUCUGAGGUAUUCACUGCACAGGAGAAGAAUAGUCCCAUAACACUGUCACGCCCACCCAUCCUCAAGCGCUGGUUUCCUGAUGGCUAUGGUCCAAUUAUCAACCUUCCUUUCACUCACCAUGAUGAGUUCAUCAGCAGAUUUGAAGCACCCGUACUCAGAGAGAGAAUUUUCCACUUCUCAUCAGAAUCAAUAGCAAAGCUCAAAGCAAAGGCAAAUGCACAGUGCAACAGCAACAAAAUCUCCUCUUUCCAGGCAUUGUCCGCACUUGUCUGGAGGUCCAUAACACGAGCGCGCUGUUUCCCACAUGAGCAGGUAACCAGUUGCAGGCUGGCCAUCGGUAACAGAACAAGAUUGGACCCGCCCUUGCCGGAGAACUACUUUGGGAACUCAAUUCAAACGGUGAGAGGCAUUGCCACUGCUGGUGAACUGCUUGAACAUGAUCUUGGGUGGGCAGCCUGGCUCUUGCACCAGGCUGUGGUCGGUCACACUGACAAAGCUGUGCGUGGCUGGCUUGAGUCAUGGUUUCAAUCCCACUUUAUUUAUCAGUUAGGCCUGUUUUUUGACCCCAAUAGCGUAAUGAUGGGGAGCUCGCCCAGAUUUAACAAGUAUGGAAUUGAGUUUGGACUAGGGAAAGGAUUGGCAGUUCGGAGCGGUUACGCACACAAGUUCGAUGGGACAGUGUCAUGUUACCCGGGACGUGAAGGAGGAGGAAGCAUAGAUUUGGAGGUGUGCCUACCGCCAAACUCGAUGAGUGCUCUUGAAUCCAACCAGGAGUUCAUGGAGGCUGUCUCUUUGUCCCCUUAGGUACUUAGUUUUCACAUAUGUAAUCUGCAUAAACUAAUGAUGUAAACUUCAUUAGUCUCUGUUUUUCUGUUUCUUCCUUGAAUAAGCACUUGUCUAUGUACGGACGUCCUUCAUAUAUUGCAAAUUCAGAUAAUAUGAUGUGAUAUCGAGGCAAAGUAAUUAUAAAGCAAAUGUUAAGUUGUUAUGUCAAGCUACCAAACAGUUCCACAUCAUAUCUGCUAAACCUAAUAUAAGACUAUAUGCCCCCUCCACGCACAACAAAGAUAGGACUUUAUAGAAGGAUGGUCAGCUUAUCUUAUGGAAGGUCAAAGCUCGACUUAUUUAAUGGUUAUUCAAUUCACUUCAUCUGUAAACAUGGACAUUUCGGACUAGAUGCCAGCCACUCUAAUAAUUGAGCAAUGAACUCCAGUUUCCAGCUGCAGAUUUCAGUACUCCAUAUUUAACUAGCAAGAAUAUUAUUGAUUGAUUUAAGCUUUCCCUCCUGCAAAAUUAGCAUACAACAGAUACGCGGUGAAGAGCUGUUAACAGCUUCAUCACACCCCAAGAGUCAAAGGCCAUGAGAACCCAAUUUUUUGGACUUUAUUUGCUAGUUCUCAUCAACCAUAGGCUAUAGCACCAUGAGGGACUUUAUUUGGAAUUUGGUAGUAGGAGCAAAAUUCAAACGGAGAAAAAAAAUAAUCAGAUUAUAGAAUGAAAUUGACUACUUACAUCAUCAACAUUGAGAGGCUCCUUGAGAUGUCACACCAUCUGCAGAGUGGUUUAACAAACAGAAUCCUAGCUUUCUCAUUUUGGUGGUCUGUGAAGUACCUAGCUCCCGUUAUAACAGUCCAGGUAACAUAUCACUAAACUCAUGCUUUUAUGUGGAAAAAACUAUUAAAUAAGUUAGUAGUACUUGCAUCCAAAAAUAUAAAGACCUGAGAUCAGACCUUGGGAGUUGUAACCUCAUUAAACUGCACAUGCGCCUAUGGGAAAGAAAAAGAGGAAAAUUAAGUUGUUCUUGAUGCCAUCAAUUAACAACAGCAAAUUGAGCAGUGGAAGUCCAUUGGAAAUGGGAGACAAACUACAUUUUGUAUGAAUAACAAUAACAGAAUAAUACAAACCAGCUAAAAGUUGAGCCCCAUCGAUUCUUCAGUGGGAUGAUCAAGGGGGUAUGAAAAAGCAACCAAAGAUCAAUCCUUCAGAAGUUCAAAAAGAUUAGGGACAGAGCAGAGUAGAAACGAAGUCAAACAGGCCUUACUAAAUCCUAGUGCAGGAAAGCUAAGCAUUCCCCUUGAAUGGUCCUAAAAUUUACAUGUCAUGCAAAAGUGAGGAGCACAGAUAACUUUCUAAAUUUAAAUCUAACAAGAAACUGAAUAUCAGCCCGCUAGCAUGGACAAAAAGUCAAUAAUCUCAGACUAAAAGAGGAGAAAAUAAUUUUUCAGGACAGUAGUUAUUUCAAGAGGCUGAGAAGUUUCCCCGAAACCUCUUUGUAUGCCCACGCACUGAUAGCUAUCCGAUUUUGUCCUAUUUAUUGCAUAUAAACUGCAUCCCCUUGACGGCUGAAAUGCCGAAACUGCAAGAAAUCAUUAAGGAAAUAAAAUAAAUACAAUAAAGGGAAAAGCUACUUCAAUGUUGAAGAAUUUCUGUGUGAGAAACCUACAGGACAUUAGCGAUAAUUACAAUGCAAUUUGGUUGUUAUAUGAGGGCCCAAGAAAGACAACCAGAGAAGCUUCAAGAAGACAUGAUGUUAGAAGCUGAUAUUCAACCAUGAAGAUCCUUUGAAAGGCCCAAGAAAGACAACCAGAAAAAGCCUCAUGAUGUUUAGCAGCUGAUAUUCAACCAUGAAGAUCCUUUGAAAGGCCCAAGAAAGACAACCAGAAAAAGCUUCAGGAUGUUAGCAGCUGAUAUUCAAUCAUGAGGAUCCUUUCAAAUCUGUGUACCCCUCAGAGCUUAGCUUCAGCCAAAUGUUCCAUGAGGGCCUUUUUGAGGAAAGGGAUCGCUCUUAAAACAUUGAAUGAAGCAUGGCCACAAGUUAGAGCCUAACUUAGAUUCUUCAAAGCAAUCUCAUAUACAUUCCAAAGCUUUUACUGAGCUUUCCUCGUUUAAAUGGUAUCACAGCCACUCCCCAGUGGGACUGUUAGCAGGCUUAAACCCUUUUCCCUCUAUAACUCCUUCCCAACUAAAGCAUUUCCAGAUUCACAUUCUUAUUAACUUCCACAAUUAUUAACUGUCUCCAUUGAUCGUCAAGAACAUGUAGCAAUCAACUGAGUAAUUCGCAACCCUUAGAGCAUCAUAUACAUUACGAGCCUAAAUCCUUGCAACUGAACCUUUCAGAAAAAUUGGUAGUUUAGCAUUGUAUUAGAACAAAGAUGAACUUGACGGCUGGACCUGAUCUUUUGUUUUCUAUAAAAUUGAAAUACUUAUGUCAUAAAAUUCAGUAAUGUACCAUCCUUAUUUAAUUUUUUUUAUUUUUUUAUUUUUCUGUUGUCAUGGUGCACCGUUGAAUUGAAUCAUGGACACCGCUGGACAAGCAUACGACGACUGUAAGAAUUUUAUCUCGAGAUUUUUUUUGACAAGUGGCUUUCGAGUUAGGGGCAACUACCAAGCGAAUUUAGAAUACGGAUACAAGUUGGCCUUUCAAUAUUGAAUUAUGCAGAUGAUGGGUGAUGCUUCCGGGGUCACGUUGGUAAAAAAAACACAAGAAAUGAGCAACCCUACGAUACUUCCUUUACUGCAAAACAAUUAAGCUUAUGUUGCGACUUGUGACUUCUUAGCAGUCAAAACACUGUUCAUAUUUUGACUUCAACCGCGGAAAAGGUCAAAAUGAUAUUUCAAGGACAAUAAUUAAAAGAAUUGACCUGCCCCUCAGCCCCUCCUUCCGCCUGUCUGGAGGUCCAUAACACAAGCACGCUGUUUACCACAUGAACAGGAAAUCAGUUGCUGCUUGGCCGUCAAUAACAGAACAAGAUUGGACCCGCCCUUGCCGGAGAACUACUUCGGGAACUCCAUUCAUACAGCCAAUGCCCAUUUCAGCUUUGGCUUCAGCUCUUGCAAAUGCAACACCUGAUCAGCAAAGAACA